CUUGCUCCAUGAUUCAGCGGCGGACGGGUGCCCUAAUGCCUAGGAAUCUGCCUGGUAGUGGGGGACAACGUUUCGAAAGGAACGCUAAUACCGCAUACGUCCUACGGGAGAAAGUGGGGGAUCUUCGGACCUUGCGCUAUCAGAUGAGCCUAGGUCGGAUUAGCUAGUUGGUGAGGUAAAGGCUCACCAAGGCGACGAUCCGUAACUGGUCUGAGAGGAUGAUCAGUCACACUGGAACUGAGACACGGUCCAGACUCCUACGGGAGGCAGCAGUGGGGAAUAUUGGACAAUGGGCGAAAGCCUGAUCCAGCCAUGCCGCGUGUGUGAAGAAGGUCUUCGGAUUGUAAAGCACUUUAAGUUGGGAGGAAGGGCAGUAAGUUAAUACCUUGCUGUUUUGACGUUACCGACAGAAUAAGCACCGGCUAACUUCGUGCCAGCAGCCGCGGUAAUACAAGGGUGCAAGCGUUAAUCGGAAUUACUGGGCGUAAAGCGCGCGUAGGUGGUUCGUUAAGUUGGAUGUGAAAGCCCCGGGCUCAACCUGGGAACUGCAUCCAAAACUGGCGAGCUAGAGUAUGGCAGAGGGUGGUGGAAUUUCCUGUGUAGCGGUGAAAUGCGUAGAUAUAGGAAGGAACACCAGUGGCGAAGGCGACCA
rnacentral:rRNA from 1 species